CCUACGGGCGGCAGCAGUGAGGAAUAUUGGUCAAUGGACGAGAGUCUGAACCAGCCAAGUAGCGUGAAGGAUGACUGCCCUAUGGGUUGUAAACUUCUUUUAUAUGGGAAUAAAACGUUCCACGUGUGGGAUUUUGUAUGUACCAUAUGAAUAAGGAUCGGCUAACUCCGUGCCAGCAGCCGCGGUAAUACGGAGGAUCCGAGCGUUAUCCGGAUUUAUUGGGUUUAAAGGGAGCGUAGGUGGAUUGUUAAGUCAGUUGUGAAAGUUUGCGGCUCAACCGUAAAAUUGCAGUUGAAACUGACAGUCUUGAGUACAGUAGAGGUGGGCGGAAUUCGUGGUGUAGCGGUGAAAUGCUUAGAUAUCACGAAGAACUCCGAUUGCGAAGGCAGUUCACUGGACUGCAACUGACACUGAGGCUCGAAAGUGUGGGUAUCAAACAGGAUUAGAUACCCCAGUAGUC
rnacentral:rRNA from 1 species